AGUGAACGCUGGCGGUAGGCCUAACACAUGCAAGUCGAACGGCAGCACAGUAAGAGCUUGCUCUUACGGGUGGCGAGUGGCGGACGGGUGAGGAAUACAUCGGAAUCUACUUUUUCGUGGGGGAUAACGUAGGGAAACUUACGCUAAUACCGCAUACGACCUACGGGUGAAAGCAGGGGAUCUUCGGACCUUGCGCGAUUGAAUGAGCCGAUGUCGGAUUAGCUAGUUGGCGGGGUAAAGGCCCACCAAGGCGACGAUCCGUAGCUGGUCUGAGAGGAUGAUCAGCCACACUGGAACUGAGACACGGUCCAGACUCCUACGGGAGGCAGCAGUGGGGAAUAUUGGACAAAGGGCGCAAGCCUGAUCCAGCCAUACCGCGUGGGUAAAGAAGGCCUUCGGGUUGUAAAGCCCUUUUGGUGGGAAAGAAGAGCAGCAGGUUAAUACCCCGCUGUUCUGACGGUACCCAAAGAAUAAGCACCGGCUAACUUCGUG
rnacentral:rRNA from 1 species